rnacentral:rRNA from 2 species
CUCGUAGUUGAACCUUGGGUCUGGCUGGCCGGUCCGCCUCACCGCGAGUACUGGUCCGGCUGGACCUUUCCUUCUGGGGAACCCCAUGGCCUUCACUGGCUGUGGGGGGAACCAGGACUUUUACUGUGAAAAAAUUAGAGUGUUCAAAGCAGGCCUUUGCUCGAAUACAUUAGCAUGGAAUAAUAGAAUAGGACGUGCGGUUCUAUUUUGUUGGUUUCUAGGACCGCCGUAAUGAUUAAUAGGGAUAGUCGGGGGCGUCAGUAUUCAGCUGUCAGAGGUGAAAUUCUUGGAUUUGCUGAAGACUAACUACUGCGAAAGCAUUCGCCAAGGAUGUUUUCAUUAAUCAGGGAACGAAAGUUAGGGGAUCGAAGACGAUCAGAUACCGUCGUAGUCUUAACCAUAAACUAUGCCGACUAGGGAUCGGACGGUGUUUCUAUUAUGACCCGUUCGGCACCUUACGAGAAAUCAAAGUUUUUGGGUUCUGGGGGGAGUAUGGUCGCAAGGCUGAAACUUAAAGAAAUUGACGGAAGGGCACCACAAGGCGUGGAGCCUGCGGCUUAAUUUGACUU